ensembl:snoRNA SCARNA1 small Cajal body-specific RNA 1
GAGCACCUGAUACUAGCCGGGCUGUCUGCACCCCAGUGUCUUCUGUGUCUGGGCUGUGCUUUGUGAUUGCCAGGUUCCAAAGGUGCAAGACAAAAAGCAGCCCUGAGAUUUAAGCUCCGAGUGCAGAGAAACACUCUGUGUUAUAACUCAGAGGCACAUGC